CAGAGCCCGCCAGCCGCUAAGCCAGGGCCACACCUGGGGGUGAUGUCCGCCUCACCUCCAGUAGGCACCUCGGCCUCUCCGGGCUAAUCAUCUCUGGCUCCCUCGCACUAACUCGCUCUCCCCUUUGGCUAACCUCCGCCUAGGCCUGGCUGCCCCCGGGGGGCUGAUACUCCAGGCCAGCCCUGCCCGUCGGGGGUCUCCAGGCGUCUAGUCUGGCUCUGAAUGAACCUCCCUCACCGUGACUAACUCUCGCCCUUGCGGUCUGUUCCUCCAGCAGAAACUAACGGCUUGCGGACUUCUCUCUGACUAACAGCCGGUCUAACACCCCCAGCUCCCCCCCCCCCCACCAUGAGUGAUGGCUUGGGUGUCCGCAUGGCUGGG
rfam:Erinaceus europaeus unplaced genomic scaffold scaffold00436, whole genome shotgun sequence